rnacentral:rRNA from 1 species
UAGGGAAUCUUCCGCAAUGGACGAAAGUCUGACGGAGCAACGCCGCGUGAGUGAAGAAGGAUUUCGGUUCGUAAAACUCUGUUGUUAGGGAAGAAAAAAUGUAUAGUAACUAUAUACAAAAGAGACGGUACCUAACCAGAAAGCCACGGCUAACUACGUGCCAGCAGCCGCGGUAAUACGUAGGUGGCAAGCGUUGUCCGGAAUUAUUGGGCGUAAAGCGCGCGCAGGUGGUUUAGAAAGUCUGAUGUGAAAGCCCACGGCUCAACCGUGGAGGGUCAUUGGAAACUAAUAAACUUGAGUGCAGGAGAGAAAAGUGGAAUUCCUAGUGUAGCGGUGAAAGGCGCAGAUAGUAGGAAGAAUACCGGUGGCGAAGGCGACUUUCUGGUCAUCAUCUGACGCUGGGGUACGAAAGCGUGGGUAGCAAACAGG